rnacentral:rRNA from 1 species
AGAGUUUGAUCCUGGCUCAGGACGAACGCUGGCGGCGUGCCUAACACAUGCAAGUCGAGCGAGAGACUUCGGUCUCUAGCGGCGGACGGGUGAGUAACACGUGGGCAACCUGCCUCAUAGAGUGGGAUAGCCUCCCGAAAGGGAGAUUAAUACCGCAUAACAUCAUGCUUUCGCAUGGGAGUAUGAUUAAAGGAGCAAUC